rnacentral:rRNA from 1 species
CAUAAUCAUUUGUCUUUUAAUUAAAGACUAGAACAAAAGAUUUAACAUUUUAAUUUAUUUAUUAAUAAUAAAAUUUAAAAUUUUUUUAAGUGUAAAAAAACACUUAUAUAAAAAAAAGACGACAAGACCCUAUUGAACUUAACUUUAGUUAUACUGGGGCAGUAUAUUAAUUAACACUUUAAUAUAAAUAUUAAAUACAAAAUCCAAUAUAAUUGAUAUAAUCAAGUUACCAUAGGGAUAACAGCGUUAUAUUUAUUAAAAGUUCUUAUUAAAAUAAAUGAUUACGACCUCGAUGUUGAAUUAAUUACCUAUUUUAACGAAAUAGUAAACAAGGAAGUC